rnacentral:rRNA from 1 species
ACGCUCGACACCUACGGGAGGCAGCAGUGGGGAAUAUUGGGCAAUGGGCGCAAGCCUGACCCAGCAACGCCGCGUGAAGGAAGAAGGCUUUCGGGUUGUAAACUUCUUUUCUCAGGGACGAGGAAAGUGACGGUACCUGAGGAACAAGCCACGGCUAACUACGUGCCUGCAGCCGCGGUAAUCUGAGCGGCUGGCAAGGC